CCCGGCGACCGGCGCACGGGUGAGUAACACGUAUGCAACCUGGCCGCCACAGGGGGAUAACCCGCGGAAACGCGGCCUAAUACCCCGUGACGCCACCGGAGGGCAUCCUCCGGUGGCCAAAGGAGCGAUCCGGUGGCGGAUGGGCAUGCGGCGCAUUAGCUAGACGGCGGGGCGACGGCCCACCGUGGCGACGAUGCGUAGGGGUUCUGAGAGGAAGGCCCCCCACACUGGGACUGAGACACGGCCCAGACUCCUACGGAAGGCAGCAG
rnacentral:rRNA from 1 species